CCAGGUGCACGCGGGAGCCCGAUGGAUCGGGCUGAGAGGGUGGCUGCCAGCCGCCGACCGUCCGACCUGAACCGGAUCAUGCCGGCGUAGGGAGAUUGCCCCCGGACGAGUC
rnacentral:ncRNA from 1 species